rnacentral:misc_RNA from 1 species
ACACGACGGCGCGCGUGUGAACAGCUUGAAUGUCCGCCUGCCCGCGACGGGCUGCACGCCGCGCAGCCCGCCAGGCAGCCCGCCGGGUUGCGCGGCGCGCGUGUGAACGUAGCAUAAGAUUGGCCGAUUGCGAUAAAAACCAUAGAAAGAAGAAUAAUAACCAUAACCUCAAAGUCGAAGUUUUAGUUCAAAUGUCAUUUAGUUGUUCAAAUGUCAUUGUCAUUUACUUUGUUUGGAUUACACACAUCAUGCCGAAAAUCUGACAUGCAAUUUUUGUAAUGGCAAAAUAUUUGCAAGAGAUGGCAAACAAAAGCAAAUGUGCAGUCGAUGUGUGGAAUGCGACAACAUUAUACUCGAUAAUUUCAAUUAUUGCGAGUGCUGUGGCUAUAAAAUGAAAAAUAAUACUUAUUACCAGAUAGAGAUGUGAGGAUAUACCUACAUACAUUCACAAUAGUUAUUAUUAUUUGAAUAUUUAUCUAAUAUAUUUUCUCCUUUAAGGUCGAUAACGAAGAGUUGAAUGUUAGAACUUAU